rnacentral:lncRNA from 10 species
AAGUUGCGGAUGCUGUGGCUGAACAUAGAGUCCAGGUAGCCACUCCAGGCACGGGCCACGGCGGCGCCACCGAUGAUGUAUUCGAGGAGAACAUUCCAGCCGAUGAGGAAGGCCCACAGCUCGCCCAUGGAUACGUAGGUGAACAGGGUCUCACUGUCACCCAGACUGGAGUGCAGUGGCAUGAACUCGGUUCACUGCAACCUCUGCCUCCUGGGUUCAAAGGAUUCUCCUGCCUCAGCCUCCUGAGUAGCUGGGAUUACAGGCGCACAGAGUUUCACUUUACUCGUCCAGGCUGGAGUGCAGUGGUGUCAUCAACCCUUACUGCAUCCUGUAACUCCUGGGCUCAAGAGAUCUUCCUGCCUCAGCCUCCCAAGUAGCUGGGACUAUAGGCUGUAACUACCAUGCCUGGCGUCAACCAGAAUAUUACGACAGCCUGCUGCUUCUAGUACUGAAGAUCCAGGGGAGAGCUGGGCCCUGCACCUGCCAGGAUGGAGAGGAGGCUUCGGAAAUGCAGUUUCUCUGGCCUGGUUUCUCAACCCAUCCCUUUUUCUACCAGAAACCUC